rnacentral:rRNA from 1 species
CUUGCUAUGAACUGUUUUAGCGGCGGACGGGUGAGUAACGCGUGAGCAACCUGCCUCACACUGGGGGACAACAGUUAGAAAUGACUGCUAAUACCGCAUAAGCGCACAGCUUCGCAUGAAGCAGUGUGAAAAACUCCGGUGGUACAAGAUGGACCCGCGUCUGAUUAGCUGGUUGGUGAGGUAACGGCCCACCAAGGCGACGAUCAGUAGCCGACCUGAGAGGGUGAUCGGCCACAUUGGAACUGAGAGACGGCCCAAACUCC